ensembl:lncRNA
CACGGAGGAGGAGGGAGGAGGGGGGGAGUCUGACUGGUGCCUCUGAGCCGUCCGGUCGCAGUCCUCUCCCGCUGCAGAGCCUGACCCCUCCCGUCUCUGAUGGAGCUCCGUGAAGACUACAGGGAAACUACAACACAACUUUACGCUUGUUUCCUUUGGAUUUAAACGACGCCGAUAAGCGAUUGUAAUGUUGUCGGGUUGUUCCACAUAAGAUGGAAUCCUGUCCACAGCAGCAGUCAUAAAAACAGGCAGACAGGAUCGCUUACUGCCCAGACUGGCAGGGGGGAUGGUGUAGUGGUGUUGAUCGUGUCUCAUAUCCGUACCUGGAUGUCUCCGGGGGGGGGGGAGGAACGCCUGAGUGACCCUCUGUAGAGAGCACAGAGUACCAGACCGUGCCGGGAAGGACGCAGAAUAACGCUACAGCGUUUCCGGGACCAGAAUAGCCCGACUGAGUCCUCUGUGAGCAAGAAAACACACCGCUACGUCCACGCCACUGUACACCCUCAUCUGGUCGGAGGACAGGACGGUGGCUCCAGCCUGCGGACUGUGUGUGCAGGCGUUGGGGGGGGCCGGCGUGGAGGGGGUCUACCCCAGUCCAACAGAUCACUGGUGAUAGUGAACGGCGUUCUGAUUGAGCGGGCAUACAGCCUUUAGGUUAGGAGAUCCUGGAGGGGUGCUCGGAUGAGGAAAGGCUGGUGAUAAGGUCGCUGUGUGUGUGUGUGUGUGUGUGUGUGUGUGUGUGUGUGUGUGUGUGUGUGUGUGUGUGUGUGUGUGUGUGUGUGUGUGUGUGUGUGUGUGUGUGUGUGUGUGUGUGUGUGUGACUAUACUCUCCGUGCCAGGCUCUAGUUACAGGACCUGCUGUGUGGCUAGUGUGUGUUUUUGUGUUUGUGUCUUUGUGUGGGUGGGUGCGUCUUUGUGUGUGUGUUUGUGUGUGUGUGAGUGUGCCUCUUUGUGUGUAUGUUUUUGCGUGUUUUCAGUCUGCAUGCCUGUGUGGAUGGGUUCCAGUUACACAUGGUCCAAGCCCGGCCGAGACGUG